GACGAACGCUGGCGGCGUGCCUAAUACAUGCAAGUCGAGCGCAGGAAGUCGACGGAACCCUUCGGGGGGAAGUUGAUGGAAUGAGCGGCGGACGGGUGAGUAACACGUAAAGAACCUGCCCUCAGGUCUGGGAUAACCACGAGAAAUCGGGGCUAAUACCGGAUGGGUCAUCGGACCGCAUGGUCCGAGGAUGAAAGGCGCUUCGGCGUCGCCUGGGGAUGGCUUUGCGGUGCAUUAGCUAGUUGGUGGGGUAAUGGCCCACCAAGGCGACGAUGCAUAGCCGACCUGAGAGGGUGAUCGGCCACACUGGGACUGAGACACGGCCCAGACUCCUACGGGAGGCAGCAGUAGGGAAUCUUCCACAAUGGACGAAAGUCUGAUGGAGCAACGCCGCGUGAACGAUGAAGGCCUUCGGGUCGUAAAGUUCUGUUGUAAGGGAAGAACAAGUGCCGCAGGCAAUGGCGGCACCUUGACGGUACCUGGCGAGAAAGCCACGGCUAACUACGUG
rnacentral:rRNA from 1 species